rnacentral:rRNA from 1 species
GAUGAACGCUAGCGGCAGGCUUAAUACAUGCAAGUCGAGGGGCAGCAUGGCUGUAGCAAUACAGCUGAUGGCGACCGGCAAACGGGUGCGGAACACGUACAGAACCUUCCUCGGAGCGGGGGAUAGCCCAGAGAAAUUUGGAUUAAUACCCCAUAGUAUAACGGAGUGGCAUCGCUUUGUUAUUAAAGAUUUAUCACUUUGAGAUGGCUGUGCGUCUGAUUAGGUAGUUGGUGAGGUAACGGCUCACCAAGCCGACGAUCAGUAACUGGUGUGAGAGCACGACCAGUCACACGGGCACUGAGACACGGCCCAGACUCCUACGGGAGGCAGCAGUGGGGAAUUUUGGACAAUGGGGGCAACCCUGAUCCAGCAAUGCCGCGUGCAGGAAGAAGGCCUUCGGGUUGUAAACUGCUUUUGUACGGAACGAAACGGUCUGGGUUAAUACCCUGGGCUAAUGACGGUACCGUAAGAAUAAGCACCGGCUAACUCUGUGCCAGCAGCCGCGGUAAAAC